rnacentral:rRNA from 1 species
GACGAACGCUGGCGGCGUGCCUAAUACAUGCAAGUCGAACGCUUCUUUUUCCACCGGAGCUUGCUCCACCGGAAAAAGAGGAGUGGCGAACGGGUGAGUAACACGUGGGUAACCUGCCCAUCAGAAGGGGAUAACACUUGGAAACAGGUGCUAAUACCGUAUAACAAUCGAAACCGCAUGGUUUUGAUUUGAAAGGCGCUUUCGGGUGUCGCUGAUGGAUGGACCCGCGGUGCAUUAGCUAGUUGGUGAGGUAACGGCUCACCAAGGCCACGAUGCAUAGCCGACCUGAGAGGGUGAUCGGCCACAUUGGGACUGAGACACGGCCCAAACUCCUACGGGAGGCAGCAGUAGGGAAUCUUCGGCAAUGGACGAAAGUCUGACCGAGCAACGCCGCGUGAGUGAAGAAGGUUUUCGGAUCGUAAAACUCUGUUGUUAGAGAAGAACAAGGAUGAGAGUAACUGUUCAUCCCUUGACGGUAUCUAACCAGAAAGCCACGGCUAACUACGUGCCAGCAGCCGCGGUAAUACGUAGGUGGCAAGCGUUGUCCGGAUUUAUUGGGCGUAAAGCGAGCGCAGGCGGUUUCUUAAGUCUGAUGUGAAAGCCCCCGGCUCAACCGGGGAGGGUCAUUGGAAACUGGGAGACUUGAGUGCAGAAGAGGAGAGUGGAAUUCCAUGUGUAGCGGUGAAGUGCGUAGAUAUAUGGAGGAACACCAGUGGCGAAGGCGGCUCUCUGGUCUGUAACUGACGCUGAGGCUCGAAAGCGUGGGGAGCAAACAGGAUUAGAUACCCUGGUAGUCCACGCCGUAAACGAUGAGUGCUAAGUGUUGGAGGGUUUCCGCCCUUCAGUGCUGCAGCUAACGCAUUAAGCACUCCGCCUGGGGAGUACGACCGCAAGGUUGAAACUCAAAGGAAUUGACGGGGGCCCGCACAAGCGGUGGAGCAUGUGGUUUAAUUCGAAGCAACGCGAAGAACCUUACCAGGUCUUGACAUCCUUUGACCACUCUAGAGAUAGAGCUUCCCCUUCGGGGGCAAAGUGACAGGUGGUGCAUGGUUGUCGUCAGCUCGUGUCGUGAGAUGUUGGGUUAAGUCCCGCAACGAGCGCAACCCUUAUUGUUAGUUGCCAUCAUUCAGUUGGGCACUCUAGCAAGACUGCCGGUGACAAACCGGAGGAAGGUGGGGAUGACGUCAAAUCAUCAUGCCCCUUAUGACCUGGGCUACACACGUGCUACAAUGGGAAGUACAACGAGUCGCGAAGUCGCGAGGCUAAGCUAAUCUCUUAAAGCUUCUCUCAGUUCGGAUUGCAGGCUGCAACUCGCCUGCAUGAAGCCGGAAUCGCUAGUAAUCGCGGAUCAGCACGCCGCGGUGAAUACGUUCCCGGGCCUUGUACACACCGCCCGUCACACCACGAGAGUUUGUAACACCCGAAGUCGGUGAGGUAACCUUUUGGAGCCAGCCGCCUAAGGUGGGAUAGAUGAUUGGGGUG